rnacentral:rRNA from 1 species
UUGGAGGGCAAGUCUGGUGCCAGCAGCCGCGGUAAUUCCAGCUCCAAUAGCGUAUAUUAAAGUUGUUGCAGUUAAAAAGCUCGUAGUUGAAUUUCGGGGUUUAUCCGUUGGUCGGGCUUUUGGGUCUGUACUGGCGUGAUGAAUUCCUACCUUCUGAAUAACCAGCAUGCCAUUAAUUUGGUGCGCUGGGGAAGCAGGACUGUUACCUUGAAAAAAUUAGAGUGCUUAAAGCAGGCUAUUGCCUGAAUACAUUAGCAUGGAAUAAUGAAAUAGGACGCAUGGUUCUAUUUUGUUGGUUUCUAGGAUCACCGUAAUGAUUAAUAGGGAUAGUUGGGGGCAUUAGUAUUCAAUUGUCAGAGGUGAAAUUCUUGGAUUUAUUGAAGACUAACUUCUGCGAAAGCAUUUGCCAAGGAUGUUUUCAUUAAUCAAGAACGAAAGUUAGGGGAUCGAAGACGAUCAGAUACCGUCGUAGUCCUAACCAUAAACUAUGCCGACUAGGGAUCGGACGAUGUUAAUUUUUUAAUGACUCGUUCGGCGCCUUACGGGAAAC